UGUUUCGGCUAGGGGGCCAUCCCGGCUUACCAACCCGAUGCAAACUGCGAAUACCGGAGAAUGUUAUCACGGGAGACACACGGCGGGUGCUAACGUCCGUCGUGAAGAGGGAAACAACCCAGACCGCCAGCUAAGGUCCCAAAGUCAUGGUUAAGUGGGAAACGAUGUGGGAAGGCCCAGACAGCCAGGAUGUUGGCUUAGAAGCAGCCAUCAUUUAAAGAAAGCGUAAUAGCUCACUGGUCGAGUCGGCCUGCGCGGAAGAUGUAACGGGGCUAAACCAUGCACCGAAGCUGCGGCAGCGACACUCAGGUGUUGUUGGGUA
rnacentral:rRNA from 4 species